UAUAUUGAACAGUGUGAUGCCUAAUUCAGUUGUCAGAUUGCACGGAAGUCUUUUGUGACUGGGAGAACAGGACUUUGGAACCAGUUGGUUUAAAAUACAAUCCUGCAUUCAUUGCUGUCUAGAAAAUGUCUUACGGAUCCAUUGAUGGGAGUGGAUUUGGAAGCAGGAACCCAUUUGGAGGCCCUUCGAGACAAGGCUAUCAACCUCUCGGAACUGCUAAUAGACAUAGGUCUGCAGGAUCAGGCCCCUCCGAAAGUGCCGAUUGAGUCAUACGCCUGGCAAAUUCCCGUACUUGCUCGAGCAAAGGAACAUUCGGUUGGAGGCUCUUCUGGGAAGGAACCAUGUAGUCAUGUAUGUUUUGUGCGGCGCUCAGCACGCUAGACUUCGGGGAGUAAUCCUCAGCACCAGUGCAAAAAUGGUGAUUAAUACAAUUAUAACAAUUUAUCCUUCUAAUACUGGGGUUUAACCACCCGGCUUCCCUGUCUUUGAUUCUGAAGGUAGUACAAUUACUUUCAUAUAGGCGAAGCUUGGAUAAUAUGAUAGCUCCAAUGCUUACUCUGUAGUCGCUAAUUUAAUUAUAUGAAAUGUCAAAUUCGUUUAAGAAAUACUUGGGGAAACCUCUACCUCUGUCGACCAGGAACAUGCCAAGUGUUUCAGAAAAUAACACGUACCUUGCUAUUAAAAAAAUCCCAAACCAGAAAGUAACACAUGCACAACCUCUGCGCGCUACGUAACACGUCUUGGAUAUUAAAGCACAACUGAAACGAAAGAUAUUACU